UGGCUUACCUCCUCAGUUAUGCGUCAUGACUUGUAUCGUCUUGAGCGUAUUGUGGGUUUUCUGUGUUGCAUACCUUUCUAAUGGUAUCAUGUUGAUUGAUCGAAGUCCCUUUUCAUCUUGUGUUACUUUUUGCGACACAUGAUGAACCUCGAGGCGGUCUCUAUGUUCCACCACGUUGAUGCUAGCGUUUUGAUGUUGUGGCCCAUUGAGUGUUGCUUGGUUUCGUGGAUACAGAACAUGAUUUGGGCAUAGGGUUACUUGUGACUCUUGUUUUGUCCUUUAUCUGUGUUCUUUAUAACGACGGUUCAUGCGCGCCUAGGCUCGUACCUGCGCGAUGUUCUUUGUCGAAGAGGAAUGCUACCUGGUUGAUCCUGCCAGUAGUCAUAUGCUUGUCUCAAAGAUUAAGCCA
rnacentral:misc_RNA from 1 species